ACACAUCUGGUUUUCUUGAUUUUUAUACAAAAUAGCUGUUCAGCCAAAACCUAUCUCUGCAGCAUUUUAAAUAUAAUAUAUCCUAAACACUAUAUAAGCUAAUUCAUAGAUACAUUAAAUAAUAUUUCGGGGUGUCUGGACUCUGGUUGCAUCAUCAUGAGGAUAAAUUUUGCUUCACCCAAAUGGAAAAGUAACCCAAGCCUCUCGUUCUUUGUUUGUGAUAUUUAUGUCUAUGGGGAAGGAAUGUAGAGCGUCAUUGAAGGAACAACUUUUUUCC
rnacentral:lncRNA from 1 species